CCCAGACUCCUACGGGAGGCAGCAGUGGGGAAUAUUGCACAAUGGGGGAAACCCUGAUGCAGCGACGCCGCGUGAGUGAAGAAGUAUUUCGGUAUGUAAAGCUCUAUCAGCAGGGAAGAAAAUGACGGUACCUGACUAGGAAGCCCCGGCUAACUACGUGCCAGCAGCCGCGGUAAUACGUAGGGGGCAAGCGUUAUCCGGAUUUACUGGGUGUAAAGGGAGCGUAGACGGCAUGGCAAGUCAGAUGUGAAAGCCCGGGGCUCAACCCCGGGACUGCCCUUGGAACUGCAUGGCUGGAGUGCGGGAGGGGCAGGCGGAAUUCCUGGUGUAGCGGUGAAAUGCGUAGAUAUCAGGAGGAACACCGGCGGCGAAGGCGGCCUGCUGGACCGUGACUGACGUUGAGGCUCGAGAGCGUGGGGAGCAAACAGGAUUAGAUACCCCCGUAGCC
rnacentral:rRNA from 1 species